rnacentral:rRNA from 1 species
AGUGAACGCUGGCGGUAGGCCUAACACAUGCAAGUCGAACGGCAGCACAGUAAGAGCUUGCUCUUACGGGUGGCGAGUGGCGGACGGGUGAGGAAUACAUCGGAAUCUACUUUUUCGUGGGGGAUAACGUAGGUAAACUUACUCUAAUACCGCAUACGACCUACGGGUGAAAGCAGUGGAUCUUCGGACCUUGCGCGAUUGAAUGAGCCGAUGUCGGAUUAGCUAGUUGGCGGGGUAAAGGCCCACCAAGGCGACGAUCCGUAGCUGGUCUGAGAGGAUGAUCAGCCAAACUGGAACUGAGACACGGUCCAGACUCCUACGGGAGGCAGCAGUGGGGAAUAUUGGACAAUGGGCGAAAGCCUGAUCCAGCAAUACCGCGUGGGUGAAGAAGGACUUCGGGUUGUAAAGCCCUUUUGUUGGGAAAGAAAAGAAGCAGGUUAAUACCACGAUGUUCUGACGGUACCCAAAGAAUAAGCACCGGCUAACUUCGUG